AUUUCUGUUAAACCACCCGAAUACUGAGUUUAUCUCCAUCUUCCUUCUCAGCAUGAAAUGGUCCCCAGGAACUGUCCCUGCUCUCUGUGGGUACUUCUGCACCAGCAGACUCCAGAGGGCCCCUGAGUCCAGAGAUCUCAAGUGCAAUCAGCUCUUUGUAAGCAUAACCAAAAGAAGGCAGGUAACAAACACCGCCAGUUCCCCUCACUGCCAUCAACACUGA
rnacentral:lncRNA from 12 species